rnacentral:lncRNA from 1 species
AGAUUGAAUUGGCUGAUGGCUUGCUUGUUUACUGAUAUGGCAGGUGACAUUCUUUAUCCACAGGGACAUGAAUAAGUGAAUAAAUAAUUCUGACACAAUUGGUCCUUUUUGGUUUUGAUUGACAUGAUUCUGCUGAAAGUCUAAUUAUCUAAAUCAUUUCUUUUCCUGUUACAAAGGUAUCUGCCUAAGGCUGCUCCUUCAACGGAAUCAUGAUGUAGCAAGCAUGAUAAUGUGAUCAGCACAACCCCAAGAAAAUUGGCUCCAAUUAAACCAGCACAGCUGGGCAAAGGCCACUGGUUUCCCAAAGGCUUCACAGAUUUGAGGUAAGAGGCCUUUCCUAUUUUUGUACAGAAACAAGUCAUAAAUACUCCUCUGACAAGAGUACAAUCAUCUUAACUCUCUAGGUAUUCUGUUACCAAUCACCUCUCCUUCAAUUCAAAUGCUCUUUGUAUGCUAAUUUUAAAUUUCUGUGAUCUAGGCUGACAGUAAGCCCUCUAAACUACAUAGGGAAAAGUCUGUAGUCUUUUAAAUAGUUCACCUUGCAAGUGAGACCAACAUGUUCUUGGAGAAAUAAGCCAGAGUUCAUUCUUCAUAUAUCCUAUAUACAGAAAAGAAGGAAAUGUCAGGGUUUCUUCUGCCAGUGGGUUGGAAACAAUUAAGAUUGUGUGCAUCUUUGUACAUAAAUAUGACAAUCUUCUUUGAAACAAGUGAACUCUAAAUUUUGGAUUUUUUUUUUUUGUAUUGAUCAUAUUAAAAAUCUCCCUUUGGGAAUGCUGAUUUCUACCCCCUACCGCCUCUUCAAGUAAAUUUAGAGUAUACUUAGUUUCGUCCCAGAAAUGAGAGGAAAAAUGUAAGGGGAUUCUGGAAGGGUGAAAUGAAUGCUGUCCCUCUUAACUUAGCCCAGAGCCCAGGGCUGCAAUAGGGCUUCUUUAGAGGGCACUAUUUCUAAUGGGCUCUGCAGAUAAUGCCCCUUCGAGAUGUGCAAUAUAACUGCCCUGGCAUGGCCUGUGUUAGAUCAAAUUGUGAAACAUGAGUCUGACACAGGACCGUCUUCUAAUUGUUUCCCUCUUUCACUCACUGAUGACCUCUCUCACUCUCCACCCUUCCUCUCUUCUCAGCAAAGCGCUCUGUAUGUCUCUGGCAUUUGCACCCAGCACGAGUCUCCCUCUGGUUCCACUCCUUAUGAGCUGUGUGACCUUGAACAGGCACUUGACUUCAGGUUUCUGACGGCAAAAUGAGGACAAGCAUGGCAUGUACCUCAAUUUUGUUGUGAAGACUGGAUGAGAUGAGGCAUAUGAAGUGUCCAGUCCACUGCCUGGCCCUCCAAGUGCAAAUGAAUAUUAGCUAGCUUACUGCUAAUAUCAUGAUCACAGCUGCUAUCCAGGUGCCCAACCACCAAAUACCCAAGGUAUCAGGAAGUCUUGUCAUCCUCUGCUGAAAAUAAAUGGAGAUGUUCAUUAGCUCAAAAGGGUCUAGUGGGUUAUACAAACCCACACCUUCAUUUUCAGAUGAGUAAACAGGCACAGAGAUGACAAGAAGUGCCGUAGACUGCAUAGCUGGUUAUAGAAGAACUGGAAACAAGAAACUAGGUCCUCUGUCUCCCAGUUUCGUACAUUUUUCACUGCAUCAAACAUUUGAUUAAGUUUCCGUGGGACCAGCAGUCUUCUUCAAGCCAUUCAGUCUUCAAUCGUGAACAAUUUCAAUCAGGCAUGUGUAUCUGGAUGAUUAUAAUCAGCUGCUAAGAAACAAAGUCCUGAUUGAUCAAGUCAUUUUCAUCCUCUUCUCCUGAACAUGGGAUUAAUGAGACAAACAUUUUCUGCUUAUGAAUUCACAGCAGUGAAAGGCAAAAAAGACCUUAUUCCUAAGGAAGUGCGUUUGGUGCUGGUCAGCUUCCCUGAGUCCCUGAUAGGCAGGGCUUACUCCAAGAUUUGCCCCUAACUUCCCUGAAGCCGGGAAGAGGGAAACAAACUUCACAGCCUGGGAUUUUCUCUUUCAGAGCAGUAGGGGUUUCUCUUUGCCUGGGUUAAUCCCACUAGCCCUUGAGAGCUGGGUUUAAGUCCCAUAUCUUCAGAGAAGUCUUUUCCCCAAACUCUAGACUAACUAGGUUAGUCCCCUUCCCCACCUCUGAUGUUCACAAAGCCUCCUAAAUAAAUAAGUAGUGUUAAUCUAAACCAUUGUUACUGGGAGAUUUUUUGGUGAGGGCUCAUAUCACAUCAUAUUUUCAGAUUCUUUUCCCUUAUAUUUCACCAAAGAGUUAAAGUGAUUCUCCAACCAGUAACUGUGGGGGAAGGGAAGCCUAAAUAUUUUUAUUCUAUUAUUCUUGGUCUAACCCCUUUAAAUUGAUAUUAGCACACAAUGAUGAUGAUUCACCCUUUGUUUCUAACACAUAUAUUUCUAACUAUAAAUGUCUUUCCAAGCUCAGUAUAAUGUUCUAUUCAGACAUUUUUUCCAAGCUUUCAAGAAAAAUUAUGAAAAUUGACUUCUGUACUAAUCCAUAAAGGAACACAAUGAAUUUCAAAGGAUCAGUUCUGUUUUACUCAUAAUGCAAUUCAAUUAGAAAUUAUUAGCAGGUAACUAGAACACCUCACAUAUUUCAAAAUUUCUAAAAUAAUCAUAUGUAUUCUCCAAUCACUGAGCACAGUACACUACACACAGCAGAUCAUUAGAUUAAGGUUGGUAUUGAAUUGGUCAAAUUUAUAUUUAUUUCAACUGUUGUCUCCUUGAACCAUCAAUUACUCAGAAGAAUUAAAACUUCCCACUGUAAUGAUAGGUGUGUCAUUUUCUCCUUAUGGUUCUGUCAAUUUUUGAUUUAUGUUUUGAGGCUAUGUUAUUACAUACUUACAGUUUUUUUAUAUCCUUUAUCAAACUUGAGAACUGACUGUUUUGUCAGUAAGGAGUGACCAUUUUAUUUCUAACAAUAUUUUUUGCUUUAAAAUAUUUUUUGUCUGCUGUUAUAAUAAUGACACCAUGUUCAGUUUUGUCUCUUGUAAACAGAGACAGCUAGAAUUCUUUUGUUAUCCAUGAGGACUAUCUUUUACUAUUUACAUAAACUUUUUGAAAUAAUUUUAGAUUUAUAGAAAAGUUGCAAAUAUAGUAGGGAUCCUAUACAAUUGUCAUCAUCUACGGCAAUCAGAACUUAGGCGAUGCCUGGAGAUCACCUUUAAGAAGACAGAGGGAUGGCUAAUGCCGUGACAAGCAAGAGCCCCAAGCAAACUCAGGCUCUAUCUUUUAUUAGGAUUGUGAACAAAGGAUAUAUAUGUAAAAGCGUGGGGGGAGACUAUAGACAAAAUUUACAAGGACCACACACACCUGGGGAAUUAUGAUUAACAGUGUUGUUCUAACAAUUAUCAGAUCUUAUCUCAGGAAGGCAUACAUUAACCUUUAUAGCAGGCCUGUUUGUUCCCUUCACAGGGAACUAUCUAAAGUUCUUUCCUUGCAUGACCUUCUUGGCAUUCCAAGAGGACAUCAUGGUUUUCCAUGACCUCUAUAUUCUGCUCUCUUUCCUUACUCUAGCCACAAGCUUUCAAGCUUGAGGCUUAUGGCCCUGUUUUCUUCCACCCACAUACAAUCUUUACCCUAUUCCCCUCAUGUUAACAUAUUACAUAACAGUUGUACAUUUGCAAAAAUAGGAAAUCAAUAUUAAUAGAUUAGUAGUACCUAAACUUAAAGACUUUAUUUGCAUUUCACAGUUUUUCUACUAGUAUCUUUUUUCUGUUUCAGAAUGCCACACUGCAUUUAGUAUUUUUGUCUUCUAAUUAAAGAGUUUAGUCUUUGUCAUUUCUUCGUGAUUUGUAGUAAUCUUAAAAUUAUUUCUACCACCUUAUGCUAUAGGCCCUCUUUUGCUACUUCCUGUUCUUUUCUUAGAUUUCUAUUCUAUUUGUUGAGUGAUUUAGUUUUCAUCCUUCCCUUCUGUACCCAACUAUGUAAUUUAUAAAAGAAAUUUUAUAUUCUCUUAGUGGGUUAUCCCAGAAAUUUUAAUAGCUUAUAAUUAAUAAAGUGUAAAGAUAAUCAAUAUUAACUCCACUCACCCCUUCCAAACUGUACAUUAAUAUAUCUAUUAAUUCUUAUUAUAUCUUGUUUUAAGCCCUCAAGACACCAUAAUUGUUUUUAUAAAGUUUUUGUUUAGAUAUAACAACAUAUUAAACUUUUUCUUUACUUAGUCCCAUCUUUCAUAAUGUUCUACAUGGAAAAUUAUGUUUUGUAAUGUUCUAUGAAAUGUCUUAGGGUUUUGCAUUUGGAGUUUUUUCCUGAUACUUAAAAUAAUGCCUUUGGUGGCAAAAUGCCUCAGUUUUGUUUUUUAAAAUGACUUUAUUUUACAUUUUUCCUAGAAGUAUGGGUUUUUUGGAUAUAAAACUCUAGAUUGGCCACAUUUUUCUCAGUUUUUUUAAAGACAUUAUUUCAUUACCUUUUCAUUUUCCUCACUUUUUUAGAGAAGUUUGCUAUUAAAUUGAUUGUUCUUUUGUGGAUAACCUACUUUUCUCUCUAACUGCACUUAUGAUCAUCUCUUUUUCUUUGGUAUUCCACAGUUCCACUACCAAAUGGUUGAGGGGUAUUUCUUUUCAUUUAACCUGUUUGGAAUAUUUAGGCUUUCUUAAUCUAAUACACUGUCUUUAUUUAUUUAUUUAGAUUUUUAAAUCUUUGUAGUAUUUAAAGUUAUUUAAAAUAUUUCAAAUUCUCUAAUUUUGCUCUCACCCAUUGAAUUAUUUUAUUUUAGAAUUCCAAUUAGAUAUGUUAGAAUUUCACAUUCUAUCUUCCACAUUUCUCCUCUUUCACAUUUUCCAUUUAAUGAUUUGUGGUAAUUUUUCAUAUCUAUUUUUCAGUUUAUUAAUUCUUAUAUCAAUUGUAUAUCUUUUGAUCUUUAUUCCUUAAAAUUUUAAAUUUCAAUUAGUUUUUUUACAUCUAGAAGUCCUGUUUGAUUUUUUUCAGGCAUUAUUGUCAUAUUUUAUAGCCUCCUACUCCUAAAACUUUACUCAUGUUAAUCCUUCUGUUUUUUAGAACAAGUUAAACAAAUAUUAUAUUCUCUCAUUGGUAAUUCCAAUACCUGAAGUGUUUAUAGAUGUGAUUCUACUGAGUGGUUUUGUGCGUUUGUUUGAGUCUGUUUUGCUAUAAGCUAAUAUUCCUAUUAGCUAAACCUCUCAAGACUUGGUUGAAGGUACAUUCAUUUAUACAGUAUUUGCUUCUCUCUCAACAUGGAGCCACUAAAUUAAACCUUGGCUAGAAAUUUUUUGAACUACCACAAGUAAUGUGAAUUUAAGCUAUGAACUGUCCAUGAGAAAAUAGGCCCACUAAGAAAUUUCAGGAGAGAUUUUUUUUUUUCCUUCCAUUCAAAACCAAGAUGGUGACAGAUAAGUUUCUUUGAUAUUCUCUUUUAGGAAUAAUUUAUUUUCCUUACACUGUAGCUGUAGUCCUUUGGAGUCUCAAAAGUAUUGCCAAGGGUUUGAGUGGUGUGGUGGACUUAUUUUAGAUUUAUCAUCUUGAGUGGGCUCUAUAUUUUUCUCUUUCCCCCCAUACCCUACACAACCACCAAAGCAAGAAGUCAAGGUUAUCAGGUUUGGCAUAUAUCACCAGGAUGAAAGCUGACUUCAGUACUAGCCUACCUUUCUGGAGCUCGAUGUUUACUUCAUUGAAAUUUAAAUUCUUCUUAUCCAUCUUGCUGGGUCAUUGAUACAAGACUAAGUGUUUUAUCCAUCAUUUUCACUUGUUUUCAGUGGAUCUAUUGUUUAGCCUGUCAGACUGUGAUAGUCUAAAAACAGACAUCAAGGAAACCUAAAAAUUAUGGGAUCACUCAAGGGGUAUUUUCCCAAGCUUUUCCACCUCCCAAAAUCAGCACCUGAAAAUUGACUUAUAGUUCAUGAUAGAAAUCUCAGGCAGUCAAUAGAUUUCCUCAUGAAUAAUUAUUAAGCUUCUAAAUUUUCCUAGAAGCACUGAGGGAGAAAUUGGUGCCGUGCCUUUCCCCUAGCUUCUGACGGCUCUCAGCAGUCCUUGGCAUUCCUUGGCUUGUAGCUACUUCACCACAAUCUCUGUCUCCAUCUUUAUAUGACUUCUUCUUUCUGUCUUUGUCUCUGUGUACCUACUACUUUUCUUGUAAAGACACCAGUCAUUGGAUUUAGGGCCCAUCCAAAUCCAGUAUGACCUCAUCUUGACUAAAGAUAUCUGCAAAAAUGACUUCCAGAUGAGGUCACAUUCUGAGGUUCCAGAUGGACAUGAAUUUUAGAGGAACUCUAUACAACUCCCUAAAAUCACCUUGAACAUUCACCUAAAGAUAAACCUCCGAUGUAUCUUGGGGAAACUAAUUUAUAUUGUAUCAUAUCAGAACACACUUAAUGGCCUAACAUCACUUCCCUUUGCCUUUUAGUGGCUCCUUGUCAUCUUUUUAAUUUAAGAUGAAUUCAUUAUGUAUUUCUAAGAUCUCCUUCAAGGGUUCCAUAGAUUAGAGUUUUUCACACCUUUCUUCCUACCAUCUUAAUUUAAUUUUCUAGGCAAACUGAACUCCAAAUUCUUAAAACAACCCAAUAGAGCACAAUAAGCCCUUGAAAUUUGUAUUGACAUCUUCGUGGUACUGCAACGAAAGCUAGUCAAUUUUU